rnacentral:rRNA from 1 species
CGAGGACCUUCGGGUCUAGUGGCGCACGGGUGCGUAACGCGUGGGAAUCUGCCCUUUGCUUCGGAAUAACAGUUAGAAAUGACUGCUAAUACCGGAUGAUGUCUUCGGACCAAAGAUUUAUCGGCAAAGGAUGAGCCCGCGUAGGAUUAGGUAGUUGGUGGGGUAAAGGCCUACCAAGCCGACGAUCCUUAGCUGGUCUGAGAGGAUGAUCAGCCACACUGGGACUGAGACACGGCCCAGACUCCUACGGGAGGCAGCAGUGGGGAAUAUUGGACAAUGGGCGCAAGCCUGAUCCAGCAAUGCCGCGUGAGUGAUGAAGGCCUUCGGGUCGUAAAGCUCUUUUACCAGGGAUGAUAAUGACAGUACCUGGAGAAUAAGCUCCGGCUAACUCCGUG